rnacentral:lncRNA from 1 species
ACUGACCCCAUUUUGACCCCACUGACACUAUUGGGACCCCAUUGUCCCCCAUUGGGACCCCAUUGACCCCAUUAUCCCCCAUUGACCCCCACUGUGGGGCAUACAUAGGGCCGGGGCUGACCCCAUAAGGACCUCAGUGACCCCAUAGGGUCCUCAGUGACCCCAUAAGGACCACAGUGACCCCAUAGGGACCUCAGUGACCCCAUAAGGACCUCAGUGACCCCAUAGGGAUCUCAGUGACCCCAUAGGGACCUCAGUGACCCCAUAGGGUCCUCAGUGCCCCACAGCGGUGUGGGUGACCCCAUUGGGACGCGGUGACCCCAAAUGGUGCCGGCGGCCCCAUAAGUGUGGGGCGGUGCUGUGGGGCGGCUGUGGGGCGGCGCGCGGUGGUGGUGCGUAAUAAAGGAGUGAGUGCA